rnacentral:rRNA from 1 species
GACGAACGCUGGCGGCGUGCUUAACACAUGCAAGUCGAACGGUAAGGCCCUUCGGGGUACACGAGUGGCGAACGGGUGAGUAACACGUGGGUGAUCUGCCCUGCACUUCGGGAUAAGCCUGGGAAACUGGGUCUAAUACCGGAUAGGACCAUGGACUUCACGGUUUGUGGUGGAAAGCUUUUGCGGUGUGGGAUGGGCCCGCGGCCUAUCAGCUUGUUGGUGGGGUAAUGGCCUACCAAGGCGACGACGGGUAGCCGGCCUGAGAGGGUGUCCGGCCACACUGGGACUGAGAUACGGCCCAGACUCCUACGGGAGGCAGCAGUGGGGAAUAUUGCACAAUGGGCGCAAGCCUGAUGCAGCGACGCCGCGUGAGGGAUGACGGGCC